rnacentral:lncRNA from 1 species
UUGCUUUGGCUAAAGACUUUCUGAACUCAGCCUCGUAAAUCGCAUAGGACUUCUCUUUUUCUAUCAAGAUCGAUAGAUUCUAUCUAGGUGCAUCCUACUCCAAACAGUGAACUUGAACCUACUGAAGCCAAUAUAUACAGCAAAGACCGGAAUGGCUAGGAACCAAGAGAAGGUGCAGUCAAACUCAGUAGCCACGCUGCGAAUAGCCAAUGACACUGUAGGUGAAAGGACCACUCACACCACUGCAGCAUCGAGAAGACCACUGACGAGUGAGUAGACAUCUAUGUGAUUUCUCAUGUUGGCCAGGCUUAGUGUAAGUUGUUCUCUAACAACCACCCACAUCCUCACCCCAUUGUCCCUACACUGUAGAGCCGAGACUCAUCUGCCCGUAAGGGAGGUGAACUAUGCACCGAUCUCGAAUGGAUUGAUCACUAUCCUCCAAGACGAUCUUUUGAUCAGGAGUAUUUAAAAAUUAACCACUAAUUAAUGUAUGUCUCAAAUUCUCAAUACUUUGAGAAUAUAUAAAAAUCAUCUUUGUUAAUUUUUAUGAUAAAUCAUGGAUACAUAAACAUGAUUGGUAUGAAAAACUCUUUAUUGAUAAUAAAAAUAUUACAAGUACAAGAUUA